rnacentral:rRNA from 1 species
GGUGAGUAACGCGUGGGAAUCUGCCCUUUUGUCUGGGACAACAGCUGGAAACGGCUGCUAAUACCGGAUACGCCCCUCGGGGGAAAGGUCCGCCGCAGAAGGAGGAGCCCGCGUCUGAUUAGCUUGUUGGUAGGGUAAUGGCCUACCAAGGCAACGAUCAGUACCUGGUCUGAGAGGAUGAUCAGCCACACUGGGACUGAGACACGGCCCAGACUCCUACGGGAGGCAGCAGUGGGGAAUAUUGGACAAUGGGGGCAACCCUGAUCCAGCAAUGCCGCGUGUGUGAUGAAGGCCUUAGGGUUGUAAAGCACUUUCACUGGUGAAGAUGAUGACGGUAACCAGAGAAGAAGCCCCGGCUAACUUCGUGCCAGCAGCCGCGGUAAUACGAAGGGGGCGAGCGUUGUUCGGAAUUACUGGGCGUAAAGGGAGCGCAGGCGGUUCAUUCAGUUAGGCGUGAAAUCCCCGGGCUCAACCUGGGAACUGCGCUUAAUACUGAU